AGGGUUCGAUUCUGGCUCAGGAUGAACGCUGGCGGCGUGCUUAACACAUGCAAGUCGAACGGGAUCCAUCAAGCUUGCUUGGUGGUGAGAGUGGCGAACGGGUGAGUAAUGCGUGACCGACCUGCCCCAUACACCGGAAUAGCUCCUGGAAACGGGUGGUAAUGCCGGAUGCUCCAGUUGAUCGCAUGGUCUUCUGGGAAAGCUUUCGCGGUAUGGGAUGGGGUCGCGUCCUAUCAGCUUGACGGCGGGGUAACGGCCCACCGUGGCUUCGACGGGUAGCCGGCCUGAGAGGGCGACCGGCCACAUUGGGACUGAGAUACGGCCCAGACUCCUACGGGAGGCAGCAGUGGGGAAUAUUGCACAAUGGGCGCAAGCCUGAUGCAGCGACGCCGCGUGAGGGAUGGAGGCCUUCGGGUUGUAAACCUCUUUUAUCGGGGAGCAAGCGAGAGUGAGUUUACCCGUUGAAUAAGCACCGGCUAACUACGUGCCAGCAGCCGCGGUAAUACGUAGGGUGCAAGCGUUAUCCGGAAUUAUUGGGCGUAAAGGGCUCGUAGGCGGUUCGUCGCGUCCGGUGUGAAAGUCCAUCGCUUAACGGUGGAUCCGCGCCGGGUACGGGCGGGCUUGAGUGCGGUAGGGGAGACUGGAAUUCCCGGUGUAACGGUGGAAUGUGUAGAUAUCGGGAAGAACACCAAUGGCGAAGGCAGGUCUCUGGGCCGUUACUGACGCUGAGGAGCGAAAGCGUGGGGAGCGAACAGGAUUAGAUACCCUGGUAGUCCACGCCGUAAACGAUGAGUGCUAGGUGUUAGGCCCUUUCCGGGGCUUAGUGCCGCAGCUAACGCAUUAAGCACUCCGCCUGGGGAGUACGACCGCAAGGUUGAAACUCAAAGGAAUUGACGGGGGCCCGCACAAGCGGUGGAGCAUGUGGUUUAAUUCGAAGCAACGCGAAGAACCUUACCAAGUCUUGACAUCCCUCUGACCGGAACUUAAUCGUUCCUUUCCUUCGGGACAGAGGAGACAGGUGGUGCAUGGUUGUCGUCAGCUCGUGUCGUGAGAUGUUGGGUUAAGU
rnacentral:rRNA from 1 species